ACGGAGGGGGUUAGCGUUGUUCGGAAUUACUGGGCGUAAAGCGUACGUAGGCGGAUUAGUAAGUUGGGGGUGAAAUCCCAGGGCUCAACCCUGGAACUGCCUCCAAAACUACUAGUCUUGAGAUCGUGAGAGGUGAGUGGAAUUCCGAGUGUAGAGGUGAAAUUCGUAGAUAUUCGGAGGAACAUCAGUGGCGAAGGCGGCUCACUGGCACGAUACUGACGCUGAGGUACGAAAGUGUGGGGAGCAAACAGG
rnacentral:rRNA from 1 species